CUGCAUCUAUCGGAUUUAUGUACACAGUACACCAAAGAUACUAUAUAUAUUAAAAUUAGUAGACUAAGCGUUACAGAUAGAGUGUUUGAUAAAUGGCAAAGUUAACUAUGGCAAACCUUUUUGCACUUUCCCUUUUGCUUUCAGUGAGAAUUGAACGGUGUGAAGGCACAAUUUGCCGUCGUUAUGAAGUUCUCAUCGAGAACUGCGAAUCUGGAAUUUGCUACAACGAGUGUACGAAGGCGGCAAAGGUUUCUCAGGUUCUAGAAUCGUCACGUUGCCUUAGAUCUGGCGUUUGUCUUUGCGAGUAUUUUUGCACAUAGCGGAAGAAAAAAAAAUAGUAAUAAAGAUUUAAAUAAUUCUCAUUAUAUAGGUUCUUAUUGAAAACCUGUCCAAUGAAUGAAUGAAAUGACUAUUUUCUCAUCGAAAAGAAUAGAGAUUUAUUAAAUAA